GAUGAAGAACGUAGCGAAAUGCGAUACGUAAUGUGAAUUGCAGAAUUCAGUGAAUCAUCGAGUCUUUGAACGCACAUUGCGCCCCCUGGUAUUCCGGGGGGCAUGCCUGUUCGAGCGUCAUUUCACCACUCAAGCCUCGCUUGGUAUUGGGCAUCGCGGUCCGCCGCGUGCCUCAAAUCGACCGGCUGGGUCUUCUGUCCCCUAAGCGUUGUGGAAACUAUUCGCUAAAGGGUGUUCGGGAGGCUACGCCGUAAAACAACCCCAUUUCUAAGGUUGACCUCGGAUCAGGUAGGGAUACCCGCUGAACUUAAGCAUAUCAAUAAGCGGAGGA
rnacentral:misc_RNA from 1 species